UAGGGAAUCUUCCACAAUGGACGCAAGUCUGAUGGAGCAACGCCGCGUGAGUGAAGAAGGUUUUCGGAUCGUAAAGCUCUGUUGUUGGUGAAGAAGGAUAGAGGCAGUAACUGGUCUUUAUUUGACGGUAAUCAACCAGAAAGUCACGGCUAACUACGUGCCAUCAGCCGCGGUAAUACGUAGGUGGCAAGCGUUGUCCGGAUUUAUUGGGCGUAAAGCGAGCGCAGGCGGAAUGAUAAGUCUGAUGUGAAAGCCCACGGCUCAACCGUGGAACUGCAUCGGAAACUGUCAUUCUUGAGUGCAGAAGAGGAGAGUGGAAUUCCAUGUGUAGCGGUGGAAUGCGUAGAUAUAUGGAAGAACACCAGUGGCGAAGGCGGCUCUCUGGUCUGCAACUGACGCUGAGGCUCGAAAGCAUGGGUAGCGAACAGG
rnacentral:rRNA from 1 species